rnacentral:rRNA from 1 species
GUAGGUGGCAAGCGUUGUCCGGGAAUUAUUGGGGCGUAAAGCGCGCGCAGGCGGUUCCUUUAAGUCUGAUGUGAAAGCCCACGGGCUCAACCGUGGAGGGUCAUUGGAAACUGGAGAACUUGAGUACAGAAGAGGAAAGCGGAAUUCCACGUGUAGCGGUGAAAUGCGUAGAGAUGUGGAGGAACACCAGUGGCGAAGGCGGCUUUCUGGUCUGUAACUGACGCUGAGGCGCGAAGGCGUGGGGAGCAAACAGGAUUAGAUACCCUGGUAGUCCACGCCGUAAACGAUGAGUGCUAAGUGUUAGGGGGUUUCCGCCCCUUAGUGCUGCAGCUAACGCAUUAAGCACUCCGCCUGGGGAGUACGGCCGCAAAGGCUGA